GUAGGUGGCAAGCGUUAUCCGGAUUUACUGGGUGUAAAGGGAGCGUAGACGGUGAUGCAAGUCAGAAGUGAAAGCCCGCGGCUCAACUGCGGGACUGCUUUUGAAACUGUAUAACUAGAGUGCAGGAGAGGUAAGCGGAAUUCCUAGUGUAGCGGUGAAAUGCGUAGAUAUUAGGAGGAACACCAGUGGCGAAGGCGGCUUACUGGACUGUAACUGACGUUGAGGCUCGAAAGCGUGGGGAGCA
rnacentral:rRNA from 1 species